rnacentral:rRNA from 1 species
AACACAUGCAAGUCGAACGAGAAAGCGGAGCAAUCCGUGAGUAAAGUGGCGUACGGGUGAGUAACACGUGGAUGAUCUACCUCUUAGUGGGGGAUAACCUUGGGAAACCGGGGCUAAUACUGCAUAAGCCUGAAAAGGGAAAGGAGCAAUUCGCUGAGAGAGGAGUCCGCGGCUGAUUAGCUAGUUGGUGAGGUAACGGCCCACCAAGGCAAUGAUCGGUAGCCGGCCUGAGAGGGCACACGGCCACACUGGCACUGAAACACGGGCCAGACUCCUACGGGAGGCAGCAGUGGGGAAUCUUGCACAAUGGGGGCAACCCUGAUGCAGCGACGCCGCGUGAGCGAUGAAGGCCUUCGGGGUGUAAAGCUCUUUCGACGGGAACGAUAAUGACGGUACCCGGAGAAGAAGCUGCGGCU